GGUGAGGAACACGUGAGGAAUUGCCUUCUACACUGGGAUAACUCCGGGAAACCGGGGCUAAUACCGGAUAUGAAACUUGGUGGCAUCACCGAGUUUGGAAAGUUUUUCGGUAGAAGAUGACCUCGCGGCCUAUCAGCUUGUUGGUGAGGUAAUGGCUCACCAAGGCGACGACGGGUAGCCGGCCUGAGAGGGCGACCGGCCACACUGGGAUGAGACACGGCCCAGACUCCUACGGGAGGCAGCAGUGGGGAAUAUUGGGCAAUGGAGGAAACUCUGACCCAGCGACGCCGCGUGCGGGAUGAAGGCCUUCGGGUUGUAAACCGCUUUCAGUAGGGAAGAAGCGAAAGUGACGGUACCUACAGAAAAGCACCGGCUAACUAUGUGCCAGCAGCCGCGGUAAUACAUAGGGUGCAAGCGUUGUCCGGAAUUAUUGGGCGUAAAGAGCUCGUAGGUGGUUCGUUACGUCGGAUGUGAAAAUCUGGGGCUCAACCCCAGACCUGCAUCCGAUACGGUCGAGCUAGAGUUUGGAGGGGAGACUGGAAUUCCUGGUGUAGCGGUGGAAUGCGCAGAUAUCAGGAGGAACACCAUGGCAAGGCAGGUCUCUGGGCCAAUACUGACACUGAGGAGCGAAAGCGUGGGGAGCGAACAGGAUUAGAUACCCUGGUAGUCCACGCCGUAAACGGUGGGCGCUAGUUGUGGGAACCUUCCACGGUUUCUGCGACGCAGCUAACGCAUUAAGCGCCCCGCCUGGUGAGUACGAUCGCAAGAUUAAAACUCAAAGGAAUUGACGGGGCCCCGCACAAGCAGCGGACAUGCGGCUUAAUUCGACGCAACGCGAAGAACCUUACCAAGGCUU
rnacentral:rRNA from 1 species